CCGUCGCUCUUUACUACGGCCAGUCGAGCGUACUUUUUCACAUCGGAGAAUUACGCGGAGUUACGUGUCAUCUCAUGUUGUUUCCCAUUACGUCGUGCCUUCGGAAAGCAUCGUCUGUAAGUUCCAUGCCUGUCUAAUGUCUGUCAUAAAGACGCGCGUGUGUGAUUGUAAGAAUACUGUAUUGUCAUGUUAGCUUGCGCUCUCUGUUUAACUUACCGGAAAUUAGCUCGUAUCGCCGGUACUUGCCGGCUCGUUUAAGGAGGAAUGUGGUUUUUAUGCUUCUCCCCUUCGGUGCUGGUAGACCUGUGUUGUGUUUGCACUGUUUAAAAUGCCAUGUGUAGAUCGAGUUUAUGUGCAAUUUGUAAUUCUGCAUUAUUUACAUAGGCUUGUCUGUUUGUUUACAUGCUGUUAUGUGGACUAUCUCUGUGUGUGUGUGGAAUGAUGACAUGUAACAUUAUGUAACAUAAUCCAUUCACAAUGUUUAUUUUGACAUUACUGUUUCUGUUAUAUUUUAUACAGUUUUACAAGAAAAAAGAAAAAAGAAAAAGGAGAAAAGAAGUAAAGGUGUUAAGUGGAUUUUCUGAAUACAACUAAAGAUUCUCAAAGUUAACACUGGACUCUGUCGUUCUUGGACUUGUUAGCUAUCUGUCAGCUUGUCUACGUCACAACACAGGCACGUGUGACAGAAUAUGCAAUGAAUAUAGAAAGUUAUGUACAAACACCCCUGAGCCCCCCAUUUCUUUUUAGCAGUCUUUUAUAACCAGCACUUUUAUUGCAGUGAUUAAAACCCCCCCAGGGCCACCUGCUGGAUCAAGGGACCAACUUCGUUGGUGCCAGGCCAGUGUUGAAGGAACUUUCCGAGUUCCCAAGCAACAUUGACAAGGAUCAAGACCUAUUGAGUGGUUGGUUCUUCUGAUGAAUGUUCUACGUACUCUCCUCUGACAGCCUUGCGGAUUAAGCUCCCGAAGCAAAGUCAUAACAUCAUCUCUCUUUACUUGUAGACCGUACUUCUGUUUAAGUACCUGCCACAUUGUGCGGUAACCAAACAGUUGUCCAGGUCCACAAAGUUCCAGUGUGAUUGCAUUGAUGACAGUGUUUGCAGAUGAAAAAAACUUUCUGCUUCAUUGAGCUUACUUUUCAGAGUUCUCGCCAUGUAAACAUGACAUCAUGUCUCUAAUAACGUCAUACGAGUGGCCCUCCAUGAAAUCGGAAAUGCAAUGCUGCAGCAUAUCCGAUCCUUCCACCUGGUUGACGUCUUCCAUAAAAGCCAAAGACCGUCCACAUGAACAACAAAAUGGCGUUAAACGGUAAAUGUUUUUGCCACAAAAGGGACAAAACCUCACUCGAUCACAAGCAUCCAUUCUCACGAGACAGAAGUCACAAACUGACCACUCACAGUAUAAUUUCCGGGUCACUUGCCGAUAGGGACAUUCCCUAUCUGUAAGGACUGUGGCUUUUGUAAAUGUGUUUCGGUAUUUGUAAAAGUGUUUUGCAUUUUGUAAAUUUGUUUUGAAAAUGUAAAUUUGUUUUAACUUUUGUCAAUUUGUUUCUGUAUUUGUAAAUUUGUUUCAAGUUUUGUAAUACUGGUUUGCACUUCCAGGCCACCGUAGAUCAAGGCACAAACUCUUGGGGCAAGAUCUUGAGUUGGCCCCAGACACUUGUAGGCCAUCGCUUCAGGAAAGUCACUACUAAGUCUUCUGGAGAGUCCGGGUUGAACACCUCCACAAACUUGGUCACAAACAUCUACUCAAACAAUCUCUUUUUGUUAGUGUUUACUACACGAUUCUCGCGUCUUCUCUCUCCGUGAUCUCUCUCUCUCGGUCGGUCCCUCGCUCUUCUCUCUCCCUCUCAAACACAAAUAUCUCUAUUAACCCCAUAAAUGCAUACAUACUGUUUUCACAGAUACAUUAGCUUUAAAAAAAAAAAACAAUAAACAUGUAAUAUAUAUUUUUAAACUGAUUUUGUUACACAUGUGGAAUGGAAAAAAGGGGAGUCUCCAGUGUGAAGGUAUUGAAGGAUAAUUUAAAUUCUGUAAACACAUUAUUUUGCAUGAACAGAUUGGUUUUGUGAGAACAUGGUUCCACAAUCUUUCCCUUCAAAUUCCACUUAUGCUGAACCAACUGAGAUUCCUAACAAGAGUACAAAUCUCUCACAUUCUGUUUGUUUAUGUUCAAACGGCACAGGUCAGUUCAUGGGAAUCUCACAUUGUUCAAACCCUGUUAUUAGUUUAAACACUAAUCGAGUUAAGUUCAGUCCCAUUAAAAUAACAUUUAGAAAUAAAGAAACUGUGCUAGUUAAUAAAUAUCUUCAUGCUCCUGCACAUAAAGGUAUACCUCCUAUUGGAAAUUUUUAUUGGCCUUGUGGUAAUGAGGCGUUCUUGUUUUUACCACCAAAAUGGUCUGGGUGUUGUUAUUUUGUUAACUUAACUAUUGCUAAUUUAGCAAUACUCCCAAUAACUCUGAAUCAAACCCUAUGCACGUUCAUAAACGAGAGAUGGCACAAUUUUCCACCCUCUCAUCAUAUCAUUGGCGUAUUUCAUUGGGAGAAAAAUGGGGUAUCGGAUUAUUGCCUUGGUAUGGUGUUACAUUUCUGGCUGACCAUAUUGACAACAUUACAUAUUCAAUGUCUGGUUUUGCUAAUGAAACUAUAAAAGGCUUCCAAUAUUUAGCGGCAAAUGACAAAUCCCAUAGGUUAACUCUGUUAAAACACGAAAUGGCUCUUGAUUAUAUUUUGGCAAAAACUGGAGGUCUUUGUCUGACUUUAUAUUUAACAGGUGACUCAUGUGUUACAGUAAUCCCUGAUAACUCAGAUAACAUCACUAGUGUGAUUACAGAACUGGAGAAGAUCCGUGACUCAUUUUGUCCCUCUGAAUCAGCAGGUUUUAGUUUCAAUAGAUGGUUAAACGAACAAUUUGGUCCCUGGGGUGCAAUGAUUGUACAUCUGUGUAUCCCUGUGCUAAUUGUGUUUGGUAUAACUUUUUGUUGUUGUACUUGUGCACUCACUUGUAUGCAAGCGUUUGUGUAUAGGUGGAUAGGGGGAGUACUUGGAGGUGACAGAACACCAUUGUAUGUGAAAGUACCUUGUGAACAAAGUAAGGAUCAAAUGUGUGUCACAUUUCAGAAUGGGCCCCAGGUAACCUGUAUAGUGAGAGUGAUUCAGAUGAAGAGAUAAUGUGAAUGGAAUUGUUUUGGUUUGCUUUUUUUUUUCUUGGUGUUUUAUUUCUUCUCUUGUGAUAUUCUGAGAGUGAAUAGUUAACUCAUACUAAUAGGUUUGCAGUGUGUAGUCAUAGAAAAAGUUAGUUAACGAGACCAUGUGAUUUCCCAAAAAAUAUGUUGACACUUUGUGUCAAAAGGGAGGAAAUGUGGGAAAUGACCAGUCUUUCCUCUGUUUCCUGUAGUGGUUAAGAUAACUAUCUACUAACAGUCAAGCUGUGAAUGGAGGCUGGGGAAAGUGUAUGAUAAGGAAGGGUCAAGGUAAGGAAUCCACAUAAUGGUAUCUGUUAGUCGUCGUAAACAUUAUAGGUAACAUCUAAUGGGGUCAUAAACGUUAUUUCUUGUGUCUGUUCUUGUUUUACUUUGAUGUUUCUGUAUAAAUGGUAGAGCUUUCUUGAGAAACGAGAGAGAACAUUUAGACCUUCUUGGUGACAGGGUCUCUCCUUUAUGCAUGAAGUAAAGAUAUGAUUCACUGAA